GGGCGUGUGGCUCAGUUGGUAGAGCGUUCGCUUAGCACUCUCAGGUCUCUGUCAGGAGAUUCCACGCGGUUCUGCGAAAGGUCCUGGGUUCGAUUCCCAGCUCGUCCA